GAUGAACGCUGGCGGCGUGCCUAAUACAUGCGAGUCGAGCGAACGGACGAGAAGCUUGCUUCUCUGAUGUUAGCGGCGGGCGGGUGAGUAACACGUGGAUAACCUACCUAUAAGACUGGGAUAACUUCGGGAAACCGGAGCUAAUACCGGAUAAUAUUUUGAACCGCAUGGUUCAAAAGUGAAAGACGGUCUUGCUGUCACUUAUAGAUGGAUCCGCGCUGCAUUAGCUAGUUGGUAAGGUAACGGCUUACCAAGGCAACGAUGCAUAGCCGACCUGAGAGGGUGAUCGGCCACACUGGAACUGAGACACGGUCCAGACUCCUACGGGAGGCAGCAGUAGGGAAUCUUCCGCAAUGGGCGAAAGCCUGACGGAGCAACGCCGCGUGAGUGAUGAAGGUCUUCGGAUCGUAAAACUCUGUUAUUAGGGAAGAACAUAUGUGUAAGUAACUGUGCACAUCUUGACGGUACCUAAUCAGAAAGCCACGGCUAACUACGUG
rnacentral:rRNA from 1 species